rnacentral:lncRNA from 1 species
GAGGUUCAGAGGAGCAGCGUGACCCGCGGGGGAUAACCUGGGAGAAAGAGGACGAGAGAAUCUGUGGAGAAAAGAACUAGCCCGCCGUCUCUUUUGACCUUUGAAGUCUCUACAGUAGAGCUUACAUCCCAGACCCUCCUGGUGCUCACACAGGACAUGAUUAGAUUUUCAGGCUUUGUCCACACCUGACAACACACGCAAGCAGAAGCGUGGAGGUAGAGAACAGCAACGCCAUCAUGCAGAUGAUGCUGAAGGUGGUGAUGACCAGUAGACAGGAAUGGUGAUAAUGAUGAUGAUGGGGACAUGUCCAGAGAUGCAUGACUCUGGCCCCUUCCUGGGCCACCACACCUCGGGGGUCCUCCCAAUGGUCUUGGCUCUGUUGUUGGUUACAAGGUUCUUUGCCAUGAGAACUCAACAUUCUCCUGAUUUGAGAAGUCCCUGCUCAAACCUUCCUAAGUAAUCCCCAGCCAAGCCAAUCUCCUAUUUCCAUGGUCUUAGGAUCUGGGUUGUUUCCAGCUUUUAGCUAUUACAAAUAAAGUUACUAUAAAUAUUCAUACAGGA